UAAUCCGGGUUGCGGACAGUGUCUGGUGGGUAGUUUGACUGGGGCGGUCUCCUCCUAAAGAGUAACGGAGGAGCACGAAGGUUGGCUAAUCCUGGUCGGACAUCAGGAGGUUAGUGCAAUGGCAUAAGCCAGCUUGACUGCGAGCGUGACGGCGCGAGCAGGUGCGAAAGCAGGUCAUAGUGAUCCGGUGGUUCUGAAUGGAAGGGCCAUCGCUCAACGGAUAAAAGGUACUCCGGGGAUAACAGGCUGAUACCGCCCAAGAGUUCAUAUCGACGGCGGUGUUUGGCACCUCGAUGUCGGCUCAUCACAUCCUGGGGCUGAAGUAGGUCCCAAGGGUAUGGCUGUUCGCCAUUUAAAGUGGUACGCGAGCUGGGUUUAGAACGUCGUGAGACAGUUCGGUCCCUAUCUGCCGUGGGCGCUGGAGAACUGAGGGGGGCUGCUCCUAGUACGAGAGGACCGGAGUGGACGCAUCACUGGUGUUCGGGUUGUCAUGCCAAUGGCACUGCCCGGUAGCUAAAUGCGGAAGAGAUAAGUGCUGAAAGCAUCUAAGCACGAAACUUGCCCCGAGAUGAGUUCUCCCUGAGACUUUAGGUCUCCUGAAGGAACGUUGAAGACGACGACGUUGAUAGGCCGGGUGUGUAAGCGCAGCGAUGCGUUGAGCUAACCGGUACUAAUGAACCGUGAGGCUUAACCUUACAACGCCGAAG
rnacentral:rRNA from 2 species